UACGUAGGUGGCAAGCGUUGUCCGGAAUUAUUGGGCGUAAAGCGCGCGCAGGCGGUCCUUUAAGUCUGAUGUGAAAGCCCACGGCUCAACCGUGGAGGGUCAUUGGAAACUGGAGGACUUGAGUGCAGAAGAGAAGAGUGGAAUUCCACGUGUAGCGGUGAAAUGCGUAGAGAUGUGGAGGAACACCAGUGGCGAAGGCGACUCUUUGGUCUGUAACUGACGCUGAGGCGGCGAAAGCGUGGGGAGCAAACAGG
rnacentral:rRNA from 1 species